rnacentral:rRNA from 1 species
CAGUAGCCGCGGUAAUACGAAGGGUGCAAGCGUUACUCGGAAUUACUGGGCGUAAAGCGUGCGUAGGUGGUGGUUAAGUCCGUUGUGAAAGCCCUGGGCUCAACCUGGGAAUUGCAGUGGAUACUGGGUCACUAGAGUGUGGUAGAGGAUAGUGGAAUUUCCGGUGUAGCAGUGAAAUGCGUAGAGAUCGGAAGGAACAUCUGUGGCGAAGGCGACUAUCUGGGCCAACACUGACACUGAGGCACGAAAGCGUGGGGAGCAAACAGGAUUAGAUACCCCCGUAGUCCCUGUCUCUUAUACA